CUGUCUCUUGCUUCAACAGUGUUUGGCUGGAACAG
rfam:Fukomys damarensis contig87375, whole genome shotgun sequence.